rnacentral:tRNA from 1 species
GGUAUCGCCAAGUGGUAAGGCAACAGACUUUGACUCUGUUAUCCGUAGGUUCAAGUCCUGCUACCC